GAUGAACGCUGGCGGCGUGCCUAAUACAUGCAAGUCGAGCGAACAGAUGAGGAGCUUGCUCCUCUGACGUUAGCGGCGGACGGGUGAGUAACACGUGGAUAACCUACCUAUAAGACUGGGAUAACUUCGGGAAACCGGAGCUAAUACCGGAUAAUAUAUUGAACCGCAUGGUUCAAUAGUGAAAGACGGUUUUGCUGUCACUUAUAGAUGGAUCCGCGCCGCAUUAGCUAGUUGGUAAGGUAACGGCUUACCAAGGCGACGAUGCGUAGCCGACCUGAGAGGGUGAUCGGCCACACUGGAACUGAGACACGGUCCAGACUCCUACGGGAGGCAGCAGUAGGGAAUCUUCCGCAAUGGGCGAAAGCCUGACGGAGCAACGCCGCGUGAGUGAUGAAGGUCUUCGGAUCGUAAAACUCUGUUAUUAGGGAAGAACAAAUGUGUAAGUAACUAUGCACGUCUUGACGGUACCUAAUCAGAAAGCCACGGCUAACUACGU
rnacentral:rRNA from 1 species